UACCGUCAUUAAAAAUAUCGAUAAAAUAAAAUUCAUUCAUCGAAACAUUAACACUUCUAUUAUUUUUGGUUUACCUUCCUCGUGUUGUUUAACGUCUCAGCAAAGAAAUCAAAAUAAAAAAUGGGCGCGUUAGCAGAAGUUGCUGGUGAUGAAAAUAGCGGCGAAGGCUCACGCACAUUUGUGUUCCAAAACGAGGGACAUACUUUAGGCAAUGCUCUAAAAACUAUCAUAAGCAGAUAUCCGGAUGUUGAUUUUUGCGGUUACACUAUUCCUCAUCCAACUGAAAGCAAAAUGCAUUUUCGGAUACAAUCUAAUCAAAACAGAGCUAUUGACAUUUUAAAACGAGGCUUAGAUGAUUUAGAAUCCCUUUGUGAUCAUACUAUCAGCACGUUCGAGUCAGAAGUUAAAACGUAUAUUGAAACAAAUAAUAAACCUGCGCCGACACUCGAUAAUCGAUUAUAUUAACUGGAACAAUGGAACUAUUUACAGCAAGUCUGCAGGCUUAAAAUUUAUUUAAUGUUCUAUCCAAUAUAAUUAAUUAUAAAUCACA
rnacentral:misc_RNA from 1 species